GCAGUGGGGAAUAUUGCACAAAGGGCGAAAGCCUGAUGCAGCCAUGCCGCGUGUAUGAAGAAGGCCUUCGGGUUGUAAAGUACUUUCAGCGAGGAGGAAAGGUAGGUAGUUAAUAACUCUUGCUGUGACGUUACUCGCAGAAGAAGCACCGGCUAACUUCG
rnacentral:rRNA from 1 species